rnacentral:lncRNA from 1 species
UGAUAAUCUUUUAAUACAUUUCUAGCAAACAAUUUUUUUUUUUCAAUUCAAAAAGAACAAUAAUUGGUAUCAGAUAAUACAAAUGAUUUUGUGACAAAUCAACAAGAUAAAAUUCUGCUAAUUAAACAUAUGCUUACUGAAAGAACUGGAUAGAACAAAUGUAGAGAUUGAAUAAGGACUGUGAAAAUUAAAAGGAGGAAGUAAAGCUUGGCAGAGGAUUCUUUCGAGAAACGCUAGAAGGAUAGGAAUUUCCAGGAGAUGAAAUGGAAAGAAACUAAAACAUCGAAAACGGUCAUCCAAUUUUUUCUGUAAAUAUACAUCCAGAUGGGUCGCGGUUUGCUGAAGGUGGACAAGCUUGUGUAAAUUGUUUCCGGUGGUCUGGUAGUGGAAAAUAUUUAGUUUCUUGUGGCGAUGUCAAGGUUCUAAUGAUAUGCGAAAUCGGAAGCAUCUUUGUAUUCCAAUCGUCUGGUUGCGUUCUUGCUUCAAAGGUUGGAAAGUGGAAACGAAUCUUAUAAAAUUGGAGCUCUUACAAACAUUUGAUCAACUCAUCAGGUGAAGAAAAUGAUUGCUGAGGUUAUAGUGACAUUAGCUCAUCAUGAUCAUUUAAAGAAAGAAGGUGGUAUUGAUUUGGUUUGGCUUAUUAUUCAUCAAUGUGCCCUCCCGGACGAUCCACCUGGUAGAAGGCCUGGUGAUCCUAGUUAUGGAGUAAUGAAGCUCUGAGGGCAAUGUGUGAAAACGUCAUGCAUUUGUUGACUACAACAGUUGAGAAUAUGGAAAAUGUGGUAUAACAUCUUCUCAGAUUCUUCUUACUAGACUUCUUGUUUAGAUUGGCUAUCUAUCUGAAGAUCGAGGAAGAGGAAUGCAGAUACUCAGGUUCAUGAAAGUUCCUGCAAUUAAUAACAAAUUAAUGCCUUUGUGGGACUCAAAAAUUCCUCUUCUGAUUCAGUUAUUAGAAGGGUUGUGCUAUGUGUGUUGGCUAUUGCGGAUCCGCACAUUUGGAUGCUGUUCUUGUUAAACUUGAAAAAGUUGCUAAAGAUGAUAAGAAAAAUGCUGAAUUUUUAGGUUUUAUAAAGGAAUUCAGAUCAUGAUAAGCUAAAGGCAACUAUUAUACGGUUAUGUAACUACAAAUGGUCCCAUUCCAAUACUGCUUACAAGAAUAGAAACACCAAUUCUAAGAAGUGUUUCUACCAAUCCUCCAAAGUGCCAAAUUUCAUUGAUGCUGUCAGAAAAAAAUUGUGUUGUGUUCAUUGUCCUCACACUAGAAAAGAGAAUCUUCCAGAAUUUAGCUACUCAUCACUUGCCUGCAGUUUUCAUUGAUGCUGUCAGAAACAAAUUGUGUUACAUUCAUUGUCCUCACACUAGAAAAGAGAAUCUUCCAGAAUUUAGCUGCUCAUCACUUGCCUGCGGUUUUCAUUGAUGCUGGUGAAUCUUCCACGGGAGAAUUCUUUACUUCACGAAAAAAAAUUUGGUGUUAUCAAACUUUAAUGAAGUUUGAUGCAAGGUUAUUAAAUAGAAAUUAAUAGAAAUCUUUUCCAUCAAGAUAACGUUAAUAAAGCGCCGUAAUAAAAAGUUUUGACAGUGUAAGGUGGUUUAACAAAAAGCGAAAACAUUUUCUGCCAGUUACAAAUCGACCGCAGCCGUCUUUUUAAAAACGUCUGUUCUCAGUUACACCAAUCAUCUAUGAUCAAAGUCUUUGUUGGGAAACGUGGUAUUCUACACGAUCAGUAAGUCUUUUAUUUUAUUCGAUAUGUGUUUUAAACUUCGUAGCUUGUUAAUUAUAAAAAAAAGUUAUAGAGCGGCAAUACGCAGUUUAAAAUGGCAAAUCUUUGUAAAUUUGAGUUUUGCUUCAUAGUUUAAAAAUAUUUUAUACCUCUAAAACAUCUCAAAUACCCCUUUUUU